rnacentral:rRNA from 1 species
AACGAACGCUGGCGGCAGGCCUAACACAUGCAAGUCGAACGAACUCUUCGGAGUUAGUGGCGGACGGGUGAGUAACACGUGGGAACGUGCACUUUGGUACGGAAUAACUCAGGGAAACUUGAGCUAAUACCGCAUGUGCCCUUCGGGGGAAAGAUUUAUCGCCAUUGGAGCGGCCCGCGUCUGAUUAGCUAGUUGGUGAGGUAAAGGCUCACCAAGGCUACGAUCAGUAGCUGGUCUGAGAGGAUGAUCAGCCACAUUGGGACUGAGACACGGCCCAAACUCCUACGCAAGGCAGCAGUGGGGAAUCUUGCGCAAUGGGCGAAAGCCUGACGCAGCCAUGCCGGGUGAAUGAUGAAGGUCUUAGGAUUGUAAAAUUCUUUCACCGGGGACGAUAAUGACGGUACCCGGAGAAGAAGCCCCGGCUAACUACGUG